AGUAAGUUUGGUCAGGUAGAGGCGGUAAGGAGAGGGGUGCAAGGGGUUUGCGGAAUAUCAGAGUGUGAGGAGUGUGGAGAUGGUGGUUUAGGUGUGGUGUGACAAGCUCGGGCUUAACCUGUGAAUGGCGUUGGAUACAGGAUCGCUAGGGUGGGGUAUGGUGUGGAGGAGUUCCCGGAGUAGCAGUGAAAUGCGUGGAGAUCGGUAGGAACGUCUGUGGCGAAGGCGGCCACCUGGACCAGCACUGACACUGAGGCACGAAAGCGUGGGGAGCAAGCAGGAUUAGAUACUCCUGAGUC
rnacentral:rRNA from 1 species